rnacentral:rRNA from 1 species
GAUGAACGCUGGCGGCGUGCCUAAUACAUGCAAGUCGAGCGAACAGACGAGGAGCUUGCUCCUCUGACGUUAGCGGCGGACGGGUGAGUAACACGUGGAUAACCUACCUAUAAGACUGGGAUAACUUCGGGAAACCGGAGCUAAUACCGGAUAAUAUAUUGAACCGCAUGGUUCAAUAGUGAAAGACGGUUUUGCUGUCACUUAUAGAUGGAUCCGUGCCGCAUUAGCUAGUUGGUAAGGUAACGGCUUACCAAGGCAACGAUGCGUAGCCGACCUGAGAGGGUGAUCGGCCACACUGGAACUGAGACACGGUCCAGACUCCUACGGGAGGCAGCAGUAGGGAAUCUUCCGCAAUGGGCGAAAGCUUGACGGAGCAACGCCGCGUGAGUGAUGAAGGUCUUCGGAUCGUAAAACUCUGUUAUUAGGAAAGAACAGAUGUGUAAGUAACUAUGCACGUCUUGACGGUACCUAAUCAGAAAGCAACGGCUAACUACGUG